AGUCGGACGGGAUUGGGAGCUUGCUCCCAUGAGAGUGGCGCACGGGUGCGUAACACGUAUGUAACCUACCUUGAUCAGGGGGAUAGCCUCUCGAAAGAGAGAUUAACACCGCAUAACAUAACUGGGUGGCAUCAUUUAGUUAUCAAAUAUUUAUAGGAUCAAGAUGGGCAUGCGGGACAUUAGCUAGUUGGUAAGGUAACGGCUUACCAAGGCGACGAUGUCUAGGGGAUCUGAGAGGAUGGCCCCCCACACUGGUACUGGGACACGGACCAGACUCCUACGGGAGGCAGCAGUAAGGAAUAUUGGUCAAUGGGCGCAAGCCUGAACCAGCCAUGCCGCGUGCAGGAAGACGGCCCUACGGGUUGUAAACUGCUUUUGCGCCGGAAUAAACCCUCUUACGUGUAAGAGGCUGAAUGUACGGCGAGAAUAAGGAUCGGCUAACUCCGUGCCAGCAGCCGCGGUAAUACGGAGGAUCCAAGCGUUAUCCGGAUUUAUUGGGUUUAAAGGGUGCGUAGGCGGCCUGUUAAGUCAGGGGUGAAAGCCGGUAGCUCAACUACCGAAGUGCCUUUGAUACUGACGGGCUUGAAUGCAGCUGAAGUGGGCGGAAUGUGACAAGUAGCGGUGAAAUGCAUAGAGAUGUCACAGAACACCGAUUGCGAAGGCAGCUCACUAAAGUGCGAUUGACGCUGAGGCACGAAAGCGUGGGGAUCAAACAGGAUUAGAUACCCUGGUAGUCCACGCCCUAAACGAUGAACACUCGAUGUUGGCGAUAUACGGUCAGCGUCUAAGCGAAAGCGUUAAGUGUUCCACCUGGGGAGUACGCCCGCAAGGGUGAAACUCAAAGGAAUUGAC
rnacentral:rRNA from 1 species